rnacentral:rRNA from 1 species
UACGGGGGGGGGCAAGCGUUGUUCGGAAUUACUGGGCGUAAAGGGCUCGUAGGCGGCCAACUAAGUCAGACGUGAAAUCCCUCGGCUUAACCGGGGAACUGCGUCUGAUACUGGAUGGCUUGAAUUCGGGAGAGGGAUGCAGAAUUCCAGGUGUAGCGGUGAAAUGCGUAGAUAUCUGGAGGAAUACCGGUGGCGAAGGCGGCAUCCUGGACCGACAUUGACGCUGAGGAGCGAAAGCUAGGGGAGCAAACGGG